rnacentral:rRNA from 1 species
CUGAAACCGUGUACGUACAAGCAGUGGGAGCACGCUUAGGCGUGUGACUGCGUACCUUUUGUAUAAUGGGUCAGCGACUUAUAUUCUGUAGCAAGGUUAACCGAAUAGGGGAGCCGAAGGGAAACCGAGUCUUAACUGGGCGUUAAGUUGCAGGGUAUAGACCCGAAACCCGGUGAUCUAGCCAUGGGCAGGUUGAAGGUUGGGUAACACUAACUGGAGGACCGAACCGACUAAUGUUGAAAAAUUAGCGGAUGACUUGUGGCUGGGGGUGAAAGGCCAAUCAAACCGGGAGAUAGCUGGUUCUCCCCGAAAGCUAUUUAGGUAGCGCCUCGUGAAUUCAUCUCCGGGGGUAGAGCACUGUUUCGGCAAGGGGGUCAUCCCGACUUACCAACCCGAUGCAAACUGCGAAUACCGGAGAAUGUUAUCACGGGAGACACACGGCGGGUGCUAACGUCCGUCGUGAAGAGGGAAACAACCCAGACCGCCAGCUAAGGUCCCAAAGUCAUGGUUAAGUGGGAAACGAUGUGGGAAGGCCCAGACAGCCAGGAUGUUGGCUUAGAAGCAGCCAUCAUUUAAAGAAAGCGUAAUAGCUCACUGGUCGAGUCGGCCUGCGCGGAAGAUGUAACGGGGCUAAACCAUGCACCGAAGCUGCGGCAGCGACGCUUAUGCGUUGUUGGGUAGGGGAGCGUUCUGUAAGCCUGUGAAGGUGUGCUGUGAGGCAUGCUGGAGGUAUCAGAAGUGCGAAUGCUGACAUAAGUAACGAUAAAGCGGGUGAAAAGCCCGCUCGCCGGAAGACCAAGGGUUCCUGUCCAACGUUAAUCGGGGCAGGGUGAGUCGACCCCUAAGGCGAGGCCGAAAGGCGUAGUCGAUGGGAAACAGGUUAAUAUUCCUGUACUUGGUGUUACUGCGAAGGGGGGACGGAGAAGGCUAUGUUGGCCGGGCGACGGUUGUCCCGGUUUAAGCGUGUAGGCUGGUUUUCCAGGCAAAUCCGGAAAAUCAAGGCUGAGGCGUGAUGACGAGGCACUACGGUGCUGAAGCAACAAAUGCCCUGCUUCCAGGAAAAGCCUCUAAGCAUCAGGUAACAUCAAAUCGUACCCCAAACCGACACAGGUGGUCAGGUAGAGAAUACCAAGGCGCUUGAGAGAACUCGGGUGAAGGAACUAGGCAAAAUGGUGCCGUAACUUCGGGAGAAGGCACGCUGAUAUGUAGGUGAAGUCCCUCGCGGAUGGAGCUGAAAUCAGUCGAAGAUACCAGCUGGCUGCAACUGUUUAUUAAAAACACAGCACUGUGCAAACACGAAAGUGGACGUAUACGGUGUGACGCCUGCCCGGUGCCGGAAGGUUAAUUGAUGGGGUCAGCGCAAGCGAAGCUCUUGAUCGAAGCCCCGGUAAACGGCGGCCGUAACUAUAACGGUCCUAAGGUAGCGAAAUUCCUUGUCGGGUAAGUUCCGACCUGCACGAAUGGCGUAAUGAUGGCCAGGCUGUCUCCACCCGAGACUCAGUGAAAUUGAACUCGCUGUGAAGAUGCAGUGUACCCGCGGCAAGACGGAAAGACCCCGUGAACCUUUACUAUAGCUUGACACUGAACAUUGAGCCUUGAUGUGUAGGAUAGGUGGGAGGCUUAGAAGUGUGGACGCCAGUCUGCAUGGAGCCGACCUUGAAAUACCACCCUUUAAUGUUUGAUGUUCUAACGUUGACCCGUAAUCCGGGUUGCGGACAGUGUCUGGUGGGUAGUUUGACUGGGGCGGUCUCCUCCUAAAGAGUAACGGAGGAGCACGAAGGUUGGCUAAUCCUGGUCGGACAUCAGGAGGUUAGUGCAAUGGCAUAAGCCAGCUUGACUGCGAGCGUGACGGCGCGAGCAGGUGCGAAAGCAGGUCAUAGUGAUCCGGUGGUUCUGAAUGGAAGGGCCAUCGCUCAACGGAUAAAAGGUACUCCGGGGAUAACAGGCUGAUACCGCCCAAGAGUUCAUAUCGACGGCGGUGUUUGGCACCUCGAUGUCGGCUCAUCACAUCCUGGGGCUGAAGUAGGUCCCAAGGGUAUGGCUGUUCGCCAUUUAAAGUGGUACGCGAGCUGGGUUUAGAACGUCGUGAGACAGUUCGGUCCCUAUCUGCCGUGGGCGCUGGAGAACUGAGGGGGGCUGCUCCUAGUACGAGAGGACCGGAGUGGACGCAUCACUGGUGUUCGGGUUGUCAUGCCAAUGGCACUGCCCGGUAGCUAAAUGCGGAAGAGAUAAGUGCUGAAAGCAUCUAAGCACGAAACUUGCC